GCCCGUGUAGCUCAGCUGGCAGAGCAGCCGCCUUGUAAGCGGCAGGUCGUCGGUUCGAUGCCGACUGCGGGCACCA
rnacentral:tRNA from 1 species